rnacentral:lncRNA from 10 species
GUAGGUUAGUCAUAAAGCCACAUUCACUCUCUUGCUUUCUCUGUCGCAUGCACUCUCUUGCCCUUCCACCUAGUUUCCAUGUUAUGAUGCAGCAAGAAGGCCCUUGCCAGAUGUGGCUCCUGGAUUGUGGACUUUUCAGCCCCCAGAACUGUGAGCCAAACAAACUUCUUUUGUUCAUAACUUCCCCAGUCUGUGAUAUCCUGUUACAGCAGCAGAAAAUGGACUAAGACACCCAGGGAUGUACCUGGAACCUGGAAAAAGGAAAGGAGGCACUGAGGGACUCACAUGAAGCUACUCUGUCAGCAUUCUAAAACUUCUGACAUUCUUUUCUAUGAAGAUAAUUGAAUCACCAAAUUUGAUGAAAUGUUCCCCAAAUAUCAGGUGAAAAAAACUCAUCUAAACCUUUGGACUUGGAAUUGCCCACAUAGACCACAUCAGCAAUGGAAGACAGAGCAAAUAACAUGUCGGUUCAAUGUAUGAAGGAGCUUUUCUUUCCCCUGCCCCAACCCUCAGACAGGUUUUAAAUGCUUGCAUGCAGCCAUCUCUAGAACAUCAAAUGGUCUCUCUUCGACUGGAAUGACAACAGCUGAAAGAAAUGUUCAACCAUGAGGACACCAUACCUAUAAAUGAUGUGCUGAGACUGGAAACCCAAAAUGUUGGUAACUGAGAAGUGGCACUAAGGCCCUAAGUUUUGGUUGCACACUCACCUAAGUGAGAACCUGACCAAAAAGGGGGGAUUUUUAAAACAAAACUCUGUGAGGCCAUUGUUUUGGACUAAGCUCAUGCACUCAUGCCCUGGGCCCCAACAGACUAAAGCAAACACAGAUGGAGUCAUUUGUGCUAAGACUUUAAGGAAACGCUUGGAUUCCACAACAGACUAGCUUUUGUUUUUUUCUUCUGCAAAUCUCUAUAACAAACAUUUCUGACAACAUAGGUAUCCACCCCCUGAAGUUCCCAUUAAAUCUUUUAACCAAAUUCAUUUCCUCUCACCUAGAGACCAUCAAGCUUCAGAUGAUGAUGCAACAAAGGUUUCAGCCAGUUCCAGGUGAAGACACCACCCUUGGACAUCAAGAAGCUACCCUGCCUCCACUAGAUAGAGCAGGGAGAGUUCUGUGAUCCCCAAUAGGGCCUUUGUAGACGCUAUCCCUUUGUGGAGAAGACUCUCAACACCCUUCAAAUACUAUGAUCUCAUCAGGAAGGCCCUCCCUGACCACCUAUGCCUGGAACUGUUCUGGGUUUGUGAGACACAGUUGGGAAGAAGACAGACUUGAGCACGGGCAGCGGUGGUUGCCAUGAAGAUGUGUGAGAAGACAGGCCUGCCUGAAAAUGCUGCUGGUCCUGGUACUGUCCUGCCCGCAACAGCACGCACACUCCAGUCUUGCCUUUUCUUGUGCUUUUUUUUCCAUUUCUUUUUAAAGAAAUCUCAUUUCCCUUCUUCUUACUCUUGUUCUCUCUUUUCUUUUCCUACUUCUCCAG